CAAUUUUGGCGGGAAAACGUGUUUUUGUGUGUUUGGCGGAAAAAUAUGUUUUGGGGUGUUAGCGUGAAAACAUUUUUUGUGAUUUUGGCAUGAAAACACGUUUUCGGUUUUUGCGGAAAAACACAUUUUGCAAUUUUGACAGGAAAUUGCGUUUUUGGGGUUUUGGCGUGAAAAUUUUGUUUUUAGGUUUUUGCGGGAAACAUGUUUUUGUAGUUUUGUCAGUAUUCGUAUGUGACAAAAAUGAUAUUAUGUUUAGGUUUGUAAUUUGUGAAUUACAUUAGGGGUAUAAAAGACAUUAUACCAUUUUGAAUGAAUCAUCUCCAUUCAAAUGAUCCAAAUUGAUUCAGCUGAAUGGACUUUAAAAUUAAGCCUAAAUUUUCAAAAGUCAUCCGGAUGAUCUAUCUGAAUGAGUUACACUUUUAGUUUCUAAACAAACAAAACUCUCAUCUUCAUCCAAGAGGAAUUGACCUCUAAGAUUAGAGUCAAGAGAAGUCAUAGCAUUUUUUAUCUUCUUUGUUCAUUUUGUUUUCUGCAAAAUUGUGACAGGAACCAACACGUAUAUGAUCUUUGUUUUUAUUAAAGUUUGAGAGGACAGUAGCUUUCUCAUGUACCUGUAAUCAUUCGGAGAACUCGUUAAAUCUAUUACAGCAUUUACAUUUUGGUUUAACCAACAAAAUGAGUGAACUAGAGUGAAAUACUAGAGAUAAAGCCAAACUUAUUCUGUUAUGUAAUUCUAACAAGUAGUAUCAGAGCGUGCGGUUAAUGCGUCCCAACAUAGAUGAGAAGAAGUAAAGGAAACUAAAUCAGCAAAAGAAAAGCAUUAGUGAGAUAAGGUUACUUAUAUGGCUUGAUCAGAGGAGUAACUUUUCACUUGUGACUCGAUUUGUCAAGGAGUUUUUCUUGGGGUUUUCCCGCAGUCUACUGGUUUUCUAGACUUCAGGAUUUUUGGUUAUGGACCUCACGAUUUCCGGAGUUCAUUGACUUGGAGAACGUUGAUCGUCAUCUAGGCAUUGAGCGAGUUUCAUAACAUUCCUCUGAGCCUAUCCGAGGUAUCGUAUUAGUAUUAUCUCGCUCCUUUGGCCAACAAGCUUCUAUCCACUCCAGUGAAGGCCAGUAUAUUGUUGAGGAGCCGUUGAAAGAAGUUAAGGGUAGUACGCCCUUUGGUCGACGAUGGAACAUGAGAUACAUUUUUAUGAAGAUUGAUGACGCCUCUAGCUUCCCUUUGCUUUGGCGCCAUAUAGGUGAGUUUAUCGAUCUGAGUCACUGAGCUAUUCUUUUAGUUUCUCCUGACUAAUGUGUUUCUCGUGAUCAUAAUUUUUUUAAGCCCCAGAACGUUCUUUUUUUUUGUUUGGAACUAGCCCCAUAACGUUCGAAGGAGAGAGAUUGGUGAGGGAGGAGUUAAGCCUCCUGAGGAAGUGGAGAUGGAUAUCGUUCUUAGUGAGUCGAGAGGCUUUUCUCCGUAGCCGUAUCCUAGGUAGGUUUCCUUUUCUGAGGAGUCAUACAAUCCACAUGGCUGAUUGCUGACGUUUAUUGGUUCCAUGUCUCAUGAUUUUAAAGGGAGCAGGCUGAAAUUUUUAUGGCAUUGUUUAUGACGAGUAUUUGAGAACGAAGGAACCAUGUAAGAGUUAUAUCUCGUACAUUAUUUCAAUGAAGGAUGUUCAUCUCUUUCCGGAUGCUGAUCCAGAAAAGUAUUGACGGUGGGAGGUGAUGAGAUCAUGUCGUUGCGUUCUAGGAUGCCAUAGCCAGGAACCGAGCGGGGUGAAUUUCUAUAAGCGUUGUAGAGGUUGUUGUCCCAUUACAUCUUGCUGACAUGUACGUUGAAUCAAAAUAGAUAAAACAUUUUGUAAAUCAGCUGCUACCUGAGAUAGAGUUUCGUCAUGAUCAACGAUCGGUUAUGCCGAUGGCGGGCGGUUACGGGAGUUUUGUCUGCGUUAAACUGCUGUCAUAUGCCGGCCUGUGGGGGUAGAAUCCUAUAGGUUUUCUGCUUAUGGCAGAUCGGAUGCGUUUACUUCAGUCAUUGCGAUGUGCGUUUCACGUUGGAUCUUCAGAGGGUGGAUCACGGGAUCCAAUCAGAAAUUAGGGUUAAAAUUUAAGCUAACGUAUUAAAUAAGUAAUAAAUAAAAUGAUUAUUUGUGAAUAAUUUCAAGGUGGAAGAGUAUUCCUUAUUGAUCAUGAAUAUUGAUUGGUAAAUGAUUAAGAAUAAAAAGUACAAAUGAAUUCGAGUAUAGAAUGAGUAUAGUCUGAAGGUAUCAAGCUUGGAUCUCCCUUCUCUUUCUACUUCAUUGUUCUUAUAUAGCAAUUUGGACUAGAAUCGACAGAAAAUUGAUAUCCAGCGUAAAUCCAGCAUCAUCAGUUCCUUCUUUACGUUUUGAGUUGAUCGGCAGGUUGGCAUUGACUUCCUUUCGAGUUUGGGAUGGGCCAUCAUUCUUAUUGGAGCUAUGAUCUUCGUAAUAGACCAUUGGAUUAGAUCAUUAAACCAGGUUUGGAUUAGGGUGAAAUCCACUUUAAAGUUUAAACACAAAUACUAGUAAUCAAAACAAAUAAUUAAAAACUCACGAACAAAAACUCACAUUGGAAAUUGAAGAUUACUUAGACAAAGACGUGCCAUGUUUUCCUUUUCUUUACGAGUAAAAGCGACCACUUGCAAGAAAUGUUACACUAACCGUUAAUACUAACUUUAACGGUGGACGCAAAGUUACCAUAUUUGUAUAACCUUUAAGUCUCAAAAAUCACUUUUUUGGAAGACAACACCAAGUUCAACAUCAUCUCCAUUUCCCAAAGUAAAGCUCCACGUAUUAAGUUUUUCUUCGUCUGGCUAAUAUUCCACUGAAGAAAGUUGGUUCUAUUUGGGUGUAGCAAUUUUAUAAGCGUCUUCUCUUCAUUCCAUUUGUUCUUGGUAUAAUCAGAACUUUAGUUCUAUAACUUUUUUUAUCUUUUGUAGAAAAAAUAGUGGAAUGUAAAAUAUGUUUCCUGUUCUAACUUCCUCACUGGGUGAGGUUUUCUAUAGAUUUGAAGUUUUGUCUUUUGAACAUUUAAACCAUGUUGGUUCUUUGUAUUCCACCAAUAAAAAUCCUACUGUCACCUCCUAUCUUGUAUUAUACAUUACAUUGUAUAAUACUAUAUAUAUGAAAGUAUCUGAAUUACUCAUUUGGCUGUUUAUUUGAUCACGUUAACUUCUUAGUUCCCUUAGGGAUCUACAAGUAUAAUUUUCCAAACAAAAAAAAAAAAAACAAAUUAGCAGUACUGAUAUAUUGAUUAAUUAAACUCAGUAUAUAUAUCAACCAAACUAUAUAUAUAUAAGUAUAUAUAUAUUUGUCUUGAGAUUACAGCAAAGUUGACAAACAUAUACGGAGAAAUAUUGUGUUGCCUAUGGUUCUGAAACUCUUUACCUAAAAUUCUUGUCGGUCAACAUUAUAAUCUCUUCUUGUGUAUGCAUCAACGUCAUAUUUGACUAUCUUCAAUCAUUCUUUUGAACAAUAGUUUUUGGAUCUCAAGUGAAAGGUCUCUUUGGAUCAUUUUACUUCUUAGAACAUCUUCAUCUCCACUCCAUAAUUUACUGUAAAAGGGAGUGAGAACUGUAAUAAUAAAAAAACAAAAAAGUGAUUACUCAAUAAAUUAAAUAAUUUUUUAUUAUUUAUUUAUAUUUCAUUUUUACUCUAUUUUUGGAAUAAAUUAUAGAGUGGAGAUAGAGAUGUCUUUAAACACAAUUAUCUUUCUUUUCAUUGUUGUAGUUUGUGUUAUUCAGUUUACCAUUGAGAGGUUGAUUGUUCUAGUUUUUAGAAUAGUUUUUGGUUUUUGUUUUUCCAAAAACCAAUUUUCAUCCAAUCAAGUUUUUUGAAAAAUGGUUUUCCUAAAAUCUAGAGAAACUAGUUUUUUUAAAUAACUGUCAAUUUCUAAACAAAAACCAAAAACCAGUUUUUUUCUAGUUUUUUUGCCAAAAAUGUUUUUCACAUUUAUGCAUUAUUACAAAUUGACUUACGUAAGGCAUUUUGGUACUAUGGAUAAAACGUAAGACAUUUUACCUAAGGCAUUUUUGAUUGCUAAUAAUAAUUUCUAAGUACAUCUAUAUAAUACCUAAGGUACACGUAAGUCAUAUUACAUAUUCUUAUUAUAACACAGUUUAGUUUUACUAAAAUAUAACAAUAUUUGAAUAAUAUUUUAUGAAAUAAUAAACUGUUGGUCACAUUUUUUUAAUAUAUUAAAUAACAUCUAUGCUAAUCAUUAAAAAAGGCUUUAUUGUAAUAAAAAUAUAUAAUAUUUGAACGUUAUUUUUAUCUAAUAAUAAACUGAUGUAAACAAAAUAACUCCUAUACAUAUCAAUAAAAUAUUUUUUUAUUUGAAGUUAGUCAUCACAAAAAUAUAUAUAUUGUUGAUACAUAUAAGCUAUAUUUCCUAUCUUUUUUUUGUUCUACUUAGUAUUACCUAGGACUAGGAUUAGUAUUUUUCUUUACUUUACUCUUAAUGAUAUUUUCAUUUUAUUAUUUUUAAAAACAAAAAUCAGAAACCAAAAACUAAAAUCUAAAAUCACCAUUCAAGUUUUUCAAAAAACUAAAAUCUACUGCAAAAUCAAAAACUAAAAACCAAAUACCAAAAACUAAAAAGCAAAAACUAAAAACCAAAAACCAAAAUCUAAAAACCAAUAAAACAAUCAUCACCUGAGUUUACUUCCGGUUGUACUAUAUUAAUUUUUUGGACCGUUAGAUUAAUAUAAUCGUUCUGUUGACAAAACAAUUACCAAGAAAUAUCAACAUUAAACUUCUCGGAAUUGUUUUUGGUUAACACUCCCAAAGAAUAUACUAUUGAACAUUCGACCAAAAAAAAAUACUAAUGAACAUAACAAGAAUGGGGUAGUUGUAAAGUAUCAUCUUGUUCUUUUAUCUCCUUUUUGUUAUUCUAAUCAAAUAUUCCAAUUAUUUUUGUCACUGAAUUUUUUUCUCUGGAAAUAUACAAAGACCGCCGUUGGAAUCGUGGGACAAAUAUAAUAAUACUUCCAUCUGCUGGGAUCAAUAUGUCUGUCCAGCAUUAUAAUAAUCGAGUAUAAAACUAAGCUUAUCCGAAACUAUACGAUCAUUUAAAUAGUAACAGAAUCACUAGAGAUUUGUUGCCAAUUUAUGUGAGCCACACUAGACAGUACACACUAUAAACAAAAGCAGAGGUGUCUUACUAAUUUAAUCAAGAAAAGGGGUUUCGUUAUAUCUUGUAGUUUUUACUUUUACUAAAUUACACAUGACCAUAUUUAUUGUCAUGGGAUACUCUAAUUCUAAGACACCAAAUAAUAACUUUCUUUUCUCAUAAUGUCUUUAUAUUGAACAAAUUAUUAUAACCGUUAAUUGUAUAAUCCAAAAGUAAUGACACAAGAAUAUACAUAUAAAACGUAUACAAUUUUGAUUCCUAUACACUUGGUUACACAUAAAGCGUACACGGUUUGAUUCCUAUACACAUGGUUUGGCAGCGACAUUGUAGGUGCUUUUAUACUUAGAGGAACACUGAUAACUGUUAUUUCAUGCUACAUAUAUAAGAAGAUAGUGAUGUCAUUUUAGACGGUUAAAAACGAAAACAGAAAUUCUCGGCCAUAUUAUGUUUAAAAUGCGUUUCCGGUGUGUUGGUGAACACUGAAGACCAAAGAGGAAUCUCUUGGCCUUUUUCCUUUGUUCAGCGGCGUUGAACGUCAUUAUUGCCGUAUCAUGAUGUUGACAUGUUUAUUUAUAGGGAAAGUAUCUGCAAAUAAUGAAAAACUAACAUCAGGUCAGUUAAAUAAUUCUUGGAUGGCUAGUGUGUAGUAGUUACCAAUAAAACGGUAAAUUAAAUAAAUCAUACUAUAAUAUAUGAUGUACAAGUUUAGAGUUUAAAUCAAAGUCCGAAUUUUUUAUAUUACUUCCCAGUUUUUCUAGGAUAUGCAUAUUAUUCCUCUCUCACGUGUAAAUGUAUUUUUAAAAUUGUGAUAACCCCAAAAUGAAGAGAAAAGAAAAAAAAAUCUCACUGAUUUCGCAAAAAAAAAACAUCGAGAAUAACUAAACUUUUUGAAGAUGCCUAACGUUAUGUUUCCGUGUAUUCAAAUACUGGUCUUUUAGUUUCUUGUUAAAAUUUCAAAAGAAUGCUAAUGCAUUUAAUUGAUGUUAUAUAUAUAUAUAUAUAUAUAUAUAAUUGUUUCUAACAUUUAAAAUAUAUAUAUAGAUUUCAGUAGACCCUAUAUUUUCUUUCAUGAAUUGUUUCAAUAUGAUAUUAUUUCUUCAAAAUCUCUAUUUUAAAAAAUUAAUAUGGAUAUAUUUAUCUAGGAUUUCAGAAGGCCCUUUCUCAAAAAACAAAAGACCGAGGAUUUGCCUAAUAUGUAAUAGUCAUAAUAAUCGGGGCUUGGACUGUGGGCAUAUAAAAUAGGUAAACAAUAGUGUCAAACUUUAAUGAUGAAGAUAUUGUGGAAUCCCACAACAUCCACCCAUCAGCGUAACCACAAAUAAGUUCAUAUUUCUCUAUCACUCUCUAAUGCGCAAUGCUCAAUUGUGCCUUCUUGUAUUUAAUGUCAUCAUAUCUAUUAACUUCACCCACAUGUAGUAUUAUACUCCAUCCAUUUUAAAUACUUGACCUUUAGAGUAAAAAUUCUGUUCCAGAUUAAAUGAUGUUUUCAAUUAACUAUGAAAAUUUUAUUAAUAAUUAAAUGAUAUUAUAUUUUCUAUUUUAUUAUUGGUUGAAUUGUAGAUAGGUAGAUAAUUAAAGAUAUGUUUUUUUUAAAUGUAAGAAUUCAAAUAUUUAUUAAUCUAUAUACAAAAUCAUAAAACGUCAUAUAUUAAAAAGUGAGGAAAUAUAUUUAUGUAACUCGAGAUAUCAAUGUAGAGUGUGAAUAUAUAUUAAACAAAACAAAAUGUAGAACUAUCAAAAUUUAAAUAGGUGGAUAUAAAGAUCAAGAAAGAAGUAAACUGUAAGGUUUAAAGAUAUAUAUAAAAAAGAAGAAAGGAAACAUUAGUAAAAUGGUAGUGGAAAUUAGGAGGGGCCAUUAGAAAUUAUGAGCUUCAUCUACAUUUCCCAUGGAUUCCUCGGAACCACUUUUAUUUCCUCCCCUUAUAUUAAAUAUGGAUAAUAAAGAGAGAUGGAGGGUCAUCAGUGCUAAAGUGUGUUCAAAACAAAUUCCAAAAUAUAUCUCAAUUAAGAAAUACGCAAUGAAUGGUGGUUAUAUGCAAUAGUGGUUAUAUGAUGAUGAUAAAUCUGAAUAUAAAAUAUAAUAUCUGAAAUAAAGAAAACUAGAUAAAUAAUUGAAAACCAGAGAACCAUAACUACAAAUACAAUCACAAACGCAAGAAAUCAGAACGGUCCUGCUGACUACUGAGUGUGUGUCUGUUCCAUAUCAAGAUAUGGGGACCAUAUUCUCCUGGGCUGAUCCUUUUGUUCUCUACAGUACAUCUCCAUUCGCUAUGUGCCACGUGUUGUACUAUACGUAGCUAUCUUAUAGGCCCGACCUACCACCCUAUAGUCGGGUCAGUAUAUUGCAUCCCCAUCCGCUUUAGAUGGAGCCCCUUAUUUUUCUUUUCAAUAAGAUCAAAAGUAUUUCAAACCAGCUAAUGAAAAAUGUUUAUUAAUUUAACGCCUCGCUAAACCAAAACAAAAUAUUGCUUCUGUAUUUCUUUAUUAGACAAAAGAUCGGGGUUUGAUAAAUUUUAGAUAAGAUUCAGGUUUUUUCUUUACGAUGAAAAGUUAUAGCGGUAAAAUAUAGAACGAGAAUCGCUUUGGUCAACAUUUUUAUACCGUUUUCCCCAUGCUCUGGUUUUACUUUUUUGUUUUACCGACUGAUUAAGUAUAAAUGGUGCUGUGUCAUCUUUUAAAUUGGAACCUGAAAUAAACUGAUUCAGUUCAAAAAAAUAGUAUAAAUGGUGCACCCUUUGCCGUAUCAGUAAAGGGUGUUAGCAAAGUAAUCACCCUUUUGUUUUUUUGACAACAAGUAAUCACCAUUUAAUUCUAGUUUUGUUUGUUAAAAGAAAAUAUAAACCAAACUCUUUUUUUCUUUUUGUGAAGUAUAAAGUUGGAUAACUUAUCAAAAUGUAAACUACGUACAUAUGAAUAUAUGAUAUAAACGAUGUCCCUUUAUGGGAGGAGAUUGAAUAAAAAAAAAAAAAAAAAAAAAAAAAAAGAAUAUAUGAUAUAUUAGAAGGGAAGCGAAAGUGCAUAUAUGUAACGGAGAUUGUGUUUAAAAAAAAUGUAACGGAGAUUAAUAUUGGGAAACUGAAUGUACGUAGGCAUGCCGCAUGCUGUUUAUGUGUAUGGAAACAGAGAAGUGGAUCACGUGUUUGAGAAUCUAAUCUAACGUACAAAUAAGUUUCAGUGCACUAGAUGUCUUGAGCCAUCCAGUCCAGCACGACGUACCGUUGACACAAAAAGAAGAACACUCCAAGUCUCCGAGUCCAAGCCCAGCUCACUUUACUCGACUCUAAUAGUUUCUAUUUGGUUAUUAGUGUAAUACGUGUUUUAUUUAGAUAUAUCAUUGUUUCUUAUUGGAUGUACAAUCAUACUGGUACAACAAUAUACGAACUAUGUAGAAAAGUAUGUAUAAGGAAUUUAGAAUACAUAUAUAUUCUUAAUAUUUAGGGUUGCGUUUAUGAUGUGCUGACCCAAAAAAACUAGUUUGUGAUGUACGACAAUUUACGAGUUAUAACUUAUAUCCAACGAAAAAAUUUGUAGACAUAAUUAAACAAUUUUUUUUUUAAAUUACAAUAAUGUAUAAUGGCAACUCGCCAAACAGAGCCGGUCCUUGUGCUUUGAGGCUACAAGCCAAACGCAAAAAAAUGGCCUGAAAACUGAUCAUGCGCAUGAAUGGAAACCGUGUCAUGUUAGAGUGAUAUUUAACAUUUAAGCCGCUGAGCUAAUGACAACUUAGGUAUACUUUGCGGCUGGUUACGUACUUAAUUAAAACACAGUCUCAAGCCCAUGCUUCCUCCGCAUCAGUCCAGGGACGUCUCUGUCGCCAAGACAAGGGUUCCAUAAACCUAUUUUGCGACAAAAAGCUUCAGGAUGUAGACAAUGUAAUGAAUUAAGGAACUCGUACAUCCAUAUACACGAUUAUAAGAAUAUAGGACUAGUGUAAUUAUGUAUAGCAGUAUAAGCUUGUAGGUUUGUCAAUUUUGCAUAUAAAAAAUAUAUGAACUUGUAGAUAUAUACAUAUAUAUAGAUAUUAUAUAUAUAUAAUGAGUGACGAACCAUUUAUUACGUGGGACUGUUACUAGUUGCUUUUAUUGGCAACAGUAACUGUGUAUGGAACCAAAUCAAAUUAAAAUAUCUAAUGAUCUUAUAUAAUAUACUCUGAAUGCUUAGGUGAUAGAUGGUGAUUGUUGGAGGUUGAGCACAUCCCGCGGAUAAGGCACAUCAAGUAAGGACAUGACUGGUUCAAACGCAGCGGUUACGGUUGUGUGAUUUUGCGGAUGCGAGUGGUUGCGGUUUCUAGCGGUUUUAAGAGAUUGUGCGAUUGGUUUUGCAGUUAGAAAUUGGUACGUUUGCGGGAUAUUUAUGACUGGUUAACUACCAAAUACAUCAGCAGUUAAAUAAUAAAUUAACAAUAUAUAUUUUAUAUAAUUAUAAAAAUAUAAAAAUAUAAAAAUCAUAAUAUUAUAA